AUGCUCACUUCAGUAGCACUCAUGCUAAAAUUGGAACAACACAGAGAUUAGUGUGGCCCUUGCACAGGAUGACAUAAAAUUUGUUGAAGCAUCUCAUAUUUUG